CAAAGCACUUUGAAGAGAGAGUUAAAGAGGACGUGAAACCGGUAGGAUGGAACGGAUAGAGCCAGCGAAGUCGCUCGUAUUCAGCCAAAGCCUUGGGCAUCGGUGUGUCGGGUUGCUAAUCACGCCUGGCGCGCCUUUUGCUUCUGGUUGAGGUGCAUUUGCGGGCGUUUGCGCUGAGACUUGCGGAUCAGCUUCUGGACCCGGGCCUAGAGGCCGUCCUUUGGGCGGAACUUGGGCACGGCGACGGUUGUUUGGUCUGCUCGUACCACGGCUUGGCCUACGGACAGGGGCGCCGUCGUUUCUUCCGGGCGUUGGCAUCGCAUGCGAUGCCUCGUUCGGGGGGUGCGGUGGUGUUCCUCGUUCCCAAGUCGGCUCUCGGUGUAAAAGCUGGUCACCUAUCCGACCCGUCUUGAAACACGGACCAAGGAGUUUAGCGUAUACGCGAGCCAUUGGGUGUCAAAACCUACAGGCACAAUGAAAGUGAAGGCCCAUUCGGUGGGCUGACAUGCGAGUUGGUGGGCCUCGGCCUGCCGAUGCAGCAUGGUCCCGUUCCAAUCGCUUGCGAUGGAGCGGAGACAGAGCGUAUGCGCUGAGACCCGAAAGAUGGUGAACUAUUCCUGAGCAGGAUGAAGCCAGAGGAAACUCUGG
rnacentral:rRNA from 1 species